rnacentral:rRNA from 1 species
AGGCUUUGAUCCUGGCUCAGAAUGAACGCUGGCGGCGUGCCUAACACAUGCAAGUCGAGCGAGAAAGGGUACUUCGGUACCUGAGUAGAGCGGCGCACGGGUGAGUAACGCGUGGAUAAUCUACCCAUGGAUUCGGGAUAACAGUGGGAAACCGCUGCUAAUACCGGAUGAGCUCAUGCAUUUUGGAGAUGCGUGGGGAAAGGCGGCCUCUGGGACAAGCUGCCGUCGAUGGAUGAGUCCGCGUCCCAUUAGCUUGUUGGUGGGGUAAGAGCCUACCAAGGCGACGAUGGGUAGCCGGCCUGAGAGGGUGGCCGGCCACACUGGGACUGGAACACGGCCCAGACUCCUACGGGAGGCAGCAGUGGGGAAUAUUGCGCAAUGGGCGAAAGCCUGACGCAGCAACGCCGCGUGAGGGAAGAAGGCCUUCGGGUCGUAAACCUCUGUCAGGGGGGAAGAAGUGCAUGGAUUCGAAGAGGGUCUGUGUUUGACGGUACCUUCCAAAGGAAGCACCGGCUAAUCCGUAGC